rnacentral:lncRNA from 10 species
UAAUUUCUUCUUUCUCUUUUUCCUAGAGACAGGGCCUCACUCUGUUGCUCAUGCUGGAGUGCAGUGGCAUGAUCACAGCUCCCUGCAGCCUCAACCUCCCAGGCUCAAGUGAUCCUCUCACCUCAGCUUCCAUAGCAGCUGGGACUACAGACUCACUCAAGAUAGAUGCCGACUAGAAUUGGAGCCUUGGACUUGGAGAUAGAUCAAGGAUCUGACGACUCUCUCUGCCCUCUUUGGAUCAAUGCAGUCUCUUUGUCAUGAUGUAUUUCCUUGUUUUGUUCUAUUCUACUUGGAUACAAACUGACCGUUCUCUGUAUGCCCAGUUUGAAUCCCAAGAAAGCCACUUUGGUUAGCAAUUUACUACUGACCCGGUUGGCCAGUGCUACACCUGGCACAAACCUGGGCCCUGGAUGGACUGCCUGUGGGACGCCUCUGUCUGUCCUAACAAUGUCUGUUCCCAGGCAAAGCACAGCAUGAGAGCUGUGCUACUGAGCGGGAGUGGAGGCUGCAAGGGAGCUGCACAUAGGAGUUAGCUGUGAUGGGCUCCAUUAAUACCUCAACCCUAUUCAGUUCUGUAUGGAUGCGUGAUGUAUUCAACAAAACAAAGAACUGAGAGAACACAGGCCUUAGAGUAUUUUAAUCAAAGGAGCAAACGUUGGAAAUAUUGGCAAUGAAAGAGGAAACACAGAACGACGUCCCAGAUUCGCAACAUGUUGAAAUCGCUGACUCCUUCUGAUGCCCCUGAUGUGUUCUGACAUUCACAAGCGCUCCCCACAGGACCCCAUCUGCACCAACGUGUGUGUUCUCUCAAGCUCCAACAUGGAUACAUCAUCCCACUUUACCUUUUAUUAUUCCUUUGUUGUAAUAUGUAUUCAAAUACAGUUACUGAACAGGAUCUUAUGGAGUAAAUACGGCGGUAUUGAUAGUCUCCAUUAUCUCAAUUUACAGAAGAGAGAAAAAUCACUUCCAGAAUCUGAGUAAGCCUAAGCUGCCCUUUAUUUUUUUCCUUUGCCUUUAGCUUUGAAGGCUUGGAAAGUCCUAUUAUCCUAAAAGUUAAAUUGGCUUGUCUAAUGCAUACAGAUGGCAAAGCCUUGUGUUAGGUACAGCUGUCAUUUUCAUCUUCAAAAGAAAGGAGGGAAAGUAUCAUCAGCUCACCUGCAGCAUCUAACUUAGAAAGGUGAGCAUUGUGCAGACAGUAAGAAGGUCUAGCUGAUGCAGUCGCAUCUGCAUAAAAUAACAAUUUUUUUUGGAAGAAAGGGUUCUCAGUGCCAUCAUCCCCUGACUUAUUCCAAAUACACUUUCAACUUUAGGAAAAUAAAAACAUAUUUGUAUCUCUGCUAAAGAUAUCAUUACUUGAAAGCUUUCAUGUUGGAGUAAGGCGUGAUGUUUGUAGAAUCACCUGGUUUGAUUCUCAUCCCAACUUUUUACAUGAAAUAUACUGAGUUUGCAUCCUCCGGGCCAAGAUAGAAUCAACCUGUCUCCUGAGUGCCCACCCAUUUCUCUUAGAACAUAUCCAACCUUCCAUUCUACCUCACGUUUAUCUCUUUCUACCAAACUGUAAGCUUCUUACCUUGCCUUCUUAUAGAUUGUGAAAUGUUUAUUGAAUAAAUUCUUGGACUUUUAUAAAGAGAUAAAGCAUUUCAGCAACAUCUUCAAAAAAUGCAUAUGCCGACCUAUUUGAUUUAGUAUGUAUGCAGUGAGGCCAGGUGUGGUGGCUCCUGUCUGUAAUCCCAGCGCUUUGGGAGGCAGAAGUGGGAGGAUCACUUGAGGCCAGGAGUUCAAGAUCAGCCUGGGCAACAUAGGAAGACCCUGUCUCUACAAAAUAAUAAUAAUAAUAAUAAUAAAUAAAUAAUAAAAACUAGCUAGGCAUGGUGGUAUGUGCCUGUGAUCUUAGCUACCCAGGCUGAGGAGGGAGGGAUUCCUUCAGCCUGGGAAUUUGAGAUUUUCAUUCUGUGAGCUAUGACUGUGCCACUGCACUCCAGUCUGGGUGACAGAGUAAGACUCUGUCUUGGGAAAAAUAAAACAAAACAUAUAUAUGUAUAUAUAUAUAUGCAGUGAAGCUAUCCACAUGAGCCUGACUUCUUAUUGUAAAGAUCUAAUAGAUUCAUAGCUUCAGAUAUAAUCCAAGGUUGUGCAUUUUUCAUUAGAUCAUGCAAAUGAGGUGAACAGAGAAAUGAUUACACUUCAGCUUACGGAGGGAAGAGAUGCUCACUUAGCAAGUACCUCCACCAGCAGAUUGCUGAACAUUCUCUGAGUUUAUUUUACAGUGUGCGUAGGCCCACUUUGCUGGAGAAAGGCAACUGAGAAGAGCUUUGCCAGAAAUCUGGAAUAAGGCUUGCAUUGUUGCCAUAGAGGGGACUUUCUUUUUGAGCAUCGUGUAGAUCUGUUUUGGCUAUUUUUCAAGCCUACAUUUAUGCCUGGGUCAGUAACAGGAAAGAAAUCUGUUAUUAAUUACUACAAUUUGAAAAGAAGUUAAAAUUGAUCUCUCACAAUCUGACUUGGCAGGAGAAAGACAUUUACCACUCAAAAUUUUGGAACUUGCCUUAGCACCAACAUUAUCUGCUGACCGUAGUGGGAAGUCUUUUUUGUAGAAAAACAUUCAGUUCUAUACAAUUACUAUGUGACAGAAAAGAUAGUGUAAAAAGAUUUUUUAAAAAUCUGUAAACAGAAUCCUGUUUUACUGUGUUUAAUAAAUGGUCCUCUGUAAAAGAGUCAAGUCCUACGGUAUAGUAACAUUUCACUUGCCUGUAAACUUGGAUUGCCAAAUAUCAAUUUUACCUUGAAGUGACAUGCUCCUGUAUAAGAAGAUAAAUAGCUGUUUGGUUACAGACAGCAGAAUUAAGUAAUUUCAGCAAAUGAAUUACCAUAUUGACCUUGUGUAGACCUGGCAUGACAGCUUGCCAAGAUGGGCCAUUGCCAAGUUCCUGUCUCAUUUUUGUGAUGUAAACCCCACCUUUUCUUCUGAUUUAUGGUCGA